rnacentral:rRNA from 1 species
GACGAACGCUGGCGGCGUGCUUAACACAUGCAAGUCGAACGGAAAGGCCCUGCUUUUGUGGGGUGCUCGAGUGGCGAACGGGUGAGUAACACGUGAGUAACCUGCCCUUGACUUUGGGAUAACUUCAGGAAACUGGGGCUAAUACCGGAUAGGAGCUCCUGCUGCAUGGUGGGGGUUGGAAAGUUUCGGCGGUUGGGGAUGGACUCGCGGCUUAUCAGCUUGUUGGUGGGGUAGUGGCUUACCAAGGCUUUGACGGGUAGCCGGCCUGAGAGGGUGACCGGCGACAUUGGGACUGAGAUACGGCCCAGACUCCGACGGGAGGCAGCAGUGGGGAGUAUUGCACGAUGGGCGGAAGCCUGAUGCAGCAACGCCGCGUGCGGGAUGACGGCCUUCGGGUUGUAAACCGCUUUCGCCUGUGACGAAGCGUGAGUGACGGUAAUGGGUAAAGAAGCACCGGCUAACUACGUG